CCAAACUUAGCCCCUCCUUACUUAUUGUUAAAUAAAAACAGAUGCUAUAUGUGUGCGAAAACAAUUAGCAAUUAUAAGGGUCACAUGGAAAACUGCAUACAAUAACUUUUAUCGGACUAUAGAUGUUGACAGUGUCUUAAUUAUGUAUCAUAAACGACCAAACAAUCAAAUAGUCAAAGUUAGAAAAGGAGAAACAUCAUUCGGCCCUUAUUUAGUGACAUACAAAGAAGAAAUUUAUAUUAACGCUAAGGCCGCGGCCACGCAGUAAACGACUGAGCGAUGAGCGACGAUUUUGAGCGACGUAUGGCUUUUUACUGAGCGACUGUUGUUGAGCGAUUAGUUGCUAAAAUGCCGUUGUCAAGAGCUGUACAGCGUAUAUUACUGCUUGAAAAUAGAUAUCAUGUUUAUAGAAUCUUGCUACGUAUAAAACAAAGAAAGUAUGGUGUUCAUCCUAUAAACCAAACAAGAUGAAGGUUCGGUGAAUUUAAUCAUUUAUAUCAAAAUCUACGUAAAUUUCCAGAUAGAUUCUUUCAAUAUCUACGCAUGUCUAUACAAUCUUUUGAUAUAUUGCUUGAAAAAGUUCGUCCUAAAUUAACAAAACAAAGGAAAGCAAUUCGUGCAGAGCAGAGGCUCGUUUUGACCUUGAGAGCAACUGGUGGAGACAGAAGUACUGGUUUCAGGCAUAUCAAGAGCCCGAUUUUGCUGGUUGACUCUUUUGCAGAUUUCUCCUGUUUUUAGCUACAGGACAUUCGUUUCGCGAUUUAGCUUUUGCUUUUCGCAUGGGCAGAAGCACAGUCAGUUUAAUUAUUUCAGAAACAUGCGAAAUCAUAUGGAAAGAACUUUUGGCGGAGUAUAUGCCUAUACCAACAACAGACCGCCUUAAAACUGUCAUAAAUGAUUACUAUAGGCGUUGGAAAUUUCCGAACUGUUUUGGCAGUAUUGAUGGUAAACACUGUCAAAUUAAGUGUCCGGCAAAUUCUGGAUCCCAUUAUUUUAAUUAUUUGCACUACUUUUCCGUAGUACUGCAAGGUGUAGCAGAUGCUGACAAAAAAUUUGUAACUAUAGAAAUGGGAGGAAGAGGAAAGCAAAGUGAUGACGGUACUUUUUCUGGAUCAACAUUAUUUCGAUUGCUUGAAGCGGAUACAUUGAAUGUUCCUCUUCCCCAAGCAUUGCCAAACUCAAAUACUAUUUUACCUAAUUUUCUGAUUGGUGAUGAAGCUUAUCCACUGAAAACAUAUUUGUUAAGACCUUUUCCACGUAGGAAUUUAAAUGCGAAAACAGAAAAUUUUAAUUAUCGACUUUCAAUAGCAAGAAAAUGCAUUGAAUGCGCAUUUGGAAUAUUAACCAGUAAAUGGCGUUUUUUGCAAAAAGCCAUUGAAACAACACCAAGAACAGCUAUUAUUUUAAUUAAAUGUGCUUGUGUACUGCACAAUUUUGUGAGGGAGCGCGAUGGCGAUAGUGAUCUUGAUUACUUACAAACAACAACUAUAAACAAUGCUAACGCUCAAACAAAUACCGUUGAUCGAGAACAACAGCAAAACUUCAGCAGAAGCCGCCAAACAGCAUUAAAUAUACGUAAUGAAUUAACAGAAUACUUGUGGGAGUUUGGACAUUAAAUUCCACUUAAAAUUUUAAUUUUAUCAUGUUAAUAUAUUAACAAUCAAUUUUUUUUAUGAAUAAAAAAACACUCACCAG